rnacentral:rRNA from 1 species
UGGGGAAUAUUGGACAAUGGGCGCAAGCCUGAUCCAGCCAUGCCGCGUGAGUGAUGAAGGCCCUAGGGUUGUAAAGCUCUUUCACCGGUGAAGAUAAUGACGGUAACCGGGGAAGAAGCCCCGGCUAACUUCGUGCCAGCAGCCGCGGUAAUACGAAGGGGGCUAGCGUUGUUCGGAUUUACUGGGCGUAAAGCGCACGUAGGCGGACUUUUAAGUCAGGGGUGAAAUCCCGGGGCUCAACCCCGGAACUGCCUUUGAUACUGGAAGUCUUGAGUAUGGUAGAGGUGAGUGGAAUUCCGAGUGUAGAGGUGAAAUUCGUAGAUAUUCGGAGGAACACCAGUGGCGAAGGCGGCUCACUGGACCAUUACUGACGCUGAGGUGCGAAAGCGUGGGGAGCAAACAGG